rnacentral:rRNA from 1 species
AUGGGUCCGGGCCGUCGCGCGCUGGGUGACCUGUUUGUCCGUUUUACCCCAAACAGACGGGGCCGAACAGAAUGGGGUCGCGCGGUGGAGUUGGCCUCAUGGACCGGCUCCUCGCUUCCCAUGCGCGGGCCAACAGCAGCCCCCGACAGCGGAUCAACACGGGCUUUGUUUAUCCAUGCAAAAAAGAUUAGCGGGGCUCGUGAUCAUGAGCGGCAAAAAAUCAUAGAUGGUGCUUCUGCUGCCUUCUUCUACCUCUUGCUGCUGUCCCUCUGGGUUCAGGAUGCAGCUGCCGCUGGUCUUGGCUUCACACGAAGUGAUUUCCCACGGCGAUUCGUCUUUGGAGCUGGAACCUCGGCAUAUCAAUAUGAGGGUGCUGUUGCUGAGGAUGGCAGGAGCCCAAGCAGCUGGGACACUUUCACUCACGCAGGCAAAAUGCCAGACAAAAGCACGGCAGAUGUUGCUGCAGAUGGGUACCACAAAUACAUGGAGGAUGUCAAGCUCAUGUCUGAGACAGGCCUAGAGGCCUAUAGGUUCUCCAUCUCCUGGUCAAGGCUCAUUCCAAGAAUCCAAGUCCACAUCACACUUCACCAUCUAGAUCUCCCUCAGAUUCUUGAAGACGAGUAUGGUGGAUGGUUAAGCCCCAGAAUUAUCGAAGAUUUCACAGCAUAUGCAGAUGUUUGCUUCAGGGAGUUUGGAGAUAGGGUUGCAUCUUGGACGACAGUGAAUGAGCCAAACAUUGGUAUGAUGGCCUCUUAUGAUGUUGGUAUAUUCCCUCCCGGCUGUUGCUCGGACCCAUUUGGAGCAACAAAGUGCACCGCUGGGGACUCUAGCGUGGAACCAUACAUAGCAGCUCAUAAUACCCUUUUGGCGCAUGCAUCCGUUGCUAGUCUUUACAGAGAAAAAUAUCAACAACUCAGGCUAUCACUCAUGAACUGGUCACCCAUGCAAAACACUCUUGACAAUAUCCAUUUCCGAAAAGCAUCUCCUCGUCGAUUUUGUCAACUGGCAAAAUUAGCACCAUUUUUAGAAGUUGAUACACCAAAGGAAAAGCAAGAUAUUUCUUAG